GACGAACGCUGGCGGCGUGCUUAACACAUGCAAGUCGAACGGAAAGGCCCUGCUUUUGUGGGGUGCUCGAAUGGCGAACGGGUGAGUCACACGUGAGUAACCUGCCCUUGACUUUGGGAUAACUUCAGGAAACUGGGGCUAAUACCGGAUAGGAGCUCCUGCUGCAUGGUGGGGGUUGGAAAGUCUCGGCGGUUGGGGAUGGACUCGCGGCUCAUCCGCUUGUUGGUGGGGUAGUGGCUUACCAAGGCUUUGACGGGUAGCCGGCCUGGGGGGGUGACCGGCCACAUUGGGACUGAGAUACGGCGCAGAGUCCUACGGGGGGCAGCGGUGGGGAAUAUUGCGCAAUGGGCGGAAGCCUGAUGCGGCAGCGCCGCGUGCGGGAUGACGGCCUACGGGUGGUAAACCGCUUUCGCCUGUGACGAAGCGUGAGUGACGGUAAUGGGUAAAGAAGCACCGGCUAACUACGUG
rnacentral:rRNA from 1 species